UACGGGGGGGGCAAGCGUUGUUCGGAAUUACUGGGCGUAAAGGGCUCGUAGGUGGUCAACUAAGUCAGACGUGAAAUCCCUCGGCUUAACCGGGGAACUGCGUCUGAUACUGGAUGGCUUGAGGUUGGGAGAGGGAUGCGGAAUUCCAGGUGUAGCGGUGAAAUGCGUAGAUAUCUGGAGGAACACCGGUGGCGAAGGCGGCAUCCUGGACCAAUUCUGACGCUGAGUGAGCGAAAGCCAGGGGAGCAAACGGG
rnacentral:rRNA from 1 species